AGCGCCCGGCUGGAGGCGCGGCGGCAGGGCUGGGCGGCGGCGGCCGUCAUGGAGCGCCAAGAGGAUUCCCUGUCCGCGCGGCCGGCCCUGGAGACCGAGGGGCUGCGCUUCCUGCACAUCACGGGUGAGUCGUUGCGGGCCAGCAGGGCGCGCGCCGCCACCUUUGCGACGCGCAGCCAUGAUCGGUGGGUCGUCCUCCGCUGCACCGGGCGCCGGAGCCUGGGAGGCCUGGGAACGGUCGGGCGUUGGCGCUUACGCGGACCUCGGGCAGCAGGCCCGGACCUCGCGCGGAGGCCUCUCGGGAGCCGCACUUCCCUGGGCGGCUCGGCUGGCCCUUGUUUGCGCGAGUCUUUUUUGCGAACCAAGCCCUUCGUGUGCUAGUUACCGGGGUCACUCGGCCCUUGGCGUUUGCCUUUGGGACGCGUCCCGCACCGCCCCAUACACACUCCUGACUCCCCGCGCUGUCACUCCUUUAUAUGUGGUUCUGCAAGGCCUUUGCCUUCCUGAUUCAGAUUAGUUGCUCUUCAUUCUUCAAAAGCCAGUUGCUGCGCCCUCCACACUCGAACUGCCCCCGACUCCCCAGAUGGUUGGGAAGUCUCACUUCUCAGUGAUCCCUGAAUUGUCGCACUUCUUGAGUUCAUGUUUUAACGAUCUACUUAGGAGGCUUUUUCCUCAGCCUAGACCAAGAAGGCUUUGAGGGCAGGAGUUACACUUUGUGUUUGUUGAGUCUUAUGGAAAGGUCAACUAGUAGUGUCAUUUUUAGUUUUUUGAAAACUUUUUUUCUUUUCAGUGGGCUCCCUGCUGGCCACCUAUGGCUGGUACAUCGUCUUCAGCUGCAUCCUUCUCUACGUGGUCUUUCAGAAGCUUUUCGCCCGGCUAAGAGCCUUGAGGCAGAGGCAGCUGGACCGAGCUGCGGCUGCUGUGGAACCUGAUGUUGUUGUUAAACGACAAGAAGCUUUAGCAGCUGCUCGAUUGAAAAUGCAAGAAGAACUAAAUGCGCAAGUUGAAAAGCAUAAGGAAAAACUGAAACAGGUAUGAACUGGUUUCAGUUUGAAUGUGUACAUAGAAAUUGUCUGAGGCUUAGUGGAUAACGAUGUCUGUGUGUGUGUUGUCUAUAAGCUUCUAGGACCAGGUCCUAUCCCAUUAGAUUCGAUAAGCAUUUCAGUUCCUACCGUGUAAGUAUUGGUGAUAUCAAGAAGAAUACACUAUUGUUAGGGAACACUAGAUGUGUGAAUAUAUUACAAUGAAAGGUCCAGAGCACAAAAGGAGGGACAGGCUGGAGCAGGGAGCAUGUGAGUGUGUGUGUGCAUGUGCCUGUGUCUUCCACAUUACCAAAAAUGUCCUGAUAGGAGUGAGUUUCAGAAGAAUGGAGUCAGUCAGUAAUUUUUUUCAUGAAACAUUUUGCUUUAAUAGUGUACAAAAACCAAAGCUGCUCUAUGUGAGUUAAACUCACACCACCAGAUCACAACAGUUUUAUUAACUAAAGAAAAUGAGGGUGAAGUUUGUUCUGAAAGACAUUUAAAUUAAGAAUUAUCAGAGUUAGCAUUGUCUUUGAGAGAAAUGGCAGCUUCUGAAUUCUUUUUAUAAAAUGUGAUUGUUUCUCAGCUUGAAGAAGAAAAAAGGAGACAGAAGAUUGAAAUGUGGGACAGCAUGCAAGAAGGAAAAAGUUACAAAGGAAAUGCAAAGAAGCCCCAGGAGGAAGACAGUCCUGGCCCUUCCACUUCAUCUGUCGUCCUGAAAUGGAAAUCGGACAGAAAGCCUUUGCGGGGAGGUGGUUAUAACCCUUUGUCUGGUGAAGGAGGUGGAGCCUGCUCCUGGAGACCUGGACGCAGAGGCCCGUCAUCUGGCGGAUGAGGCUAAGAAUCUUGUUAGUGUCGAUUUUGACAUUAGCAAGAUGAAUCCUUAACCCUCGAUUCAAUUGCCUUACGCACGCUUUUCACAGUGACUAGCCAAGGGGAGGUGGGGUUGAUUUCUGUUCCUAACUACACCUGCAUAUGUCAGGGCUCCAGUCAGCAAAAGGUAUAGAUGUUGCCUCUAGGCAUUAGGUCAUUGGUCACAUUCUACUUGGAGACAGUGAUUGCAUUCAUUGAUUUCAUGGUUGAUUGCUAGUUGGUAGGUAAAGGCCUCUAGAUGAUUAGCAAUCUUGAUAAAAGAGGCCUAGUAAUGUUCUUUUGAAGUUAGAAAUCCUUGCUGCUAGGACAGUCUCUGUGACAGGUUGCGUUGAAUGAUGUCUUCCUUAUCAAUGGUGAGCCCACCAGUGAGGAUUACUGAUGCGGACAGUUGAUGGGGUUUGUUUCUGUAUAUUUAUUUUUAUGUACAGAACUUUGUAAAAACGAAACUAUUUAAAAAACGAGAAUAACAUUUUUAGCAUCUUUAUUCAAGGAGAUUUAUGGACUUGAAUUUGUCUAUCAAACAUUAAAUAGCUUUUUACUACUCACAACCUCC
rnacentral:sRNA from 1 species